ACCCGGCGGUGGCGAAGCGGCGGCUGCGCCGGGGGCUGAUGGCGCUCGGCAUCGUCGCCGCGAUCGGUGCCGCCGGCUGGGGCUGGCUGUCGGGUG
rnacentral:tRNA from 1 species